GAUUAUGGCUCAGGAUGAACGCUAGCUACAGGCCUAACACAUGCAAGUCGAGGGGCAGCAGAUCGAAAGCUUGCUUUGAUGCUGGCGACCGGCGAAUGGGUGAGUCACGCGUGUCCAACCUGCCCUGUGCCCGGGGAUAGCCCUUGGAAAUGAGGAUUAACACCCGAUAGGUGGCGCUUCCGCAUGGCGGCGCCAUGAAACCGACACAGGAUGGGGACGCGUCGGAUUAGCUUGACGGCGGGGCGACGGCCCACCGUGGCGACGAUCCGCAGGGGUUCUGAGAGGAAGGUCCCCCACACUGGCACUGAGACACGGGCCAGACUCCUACGGGAGGCAGCAGUGAGGAAUAUUGGUCAAUGGCCGAGAGGCUGAACCAGCCAAGUAGCGUGCAGGACGACGGCCCUACGGGUUGUAAACUGCUUUUGCGGGAGGAUAAAGGACGCCACGUGUGGCGUUUUGCAGGUAUCCCGUGAAUAAGGACCGGCUAAUUCCGUGCCAGCCGCAGC
rnacentral:rRNA from 1 species